UGUGCGCGAGUCAUUGGGUGUAAAACCUAAAGGCGCAAUGAAAGUGUCAGGGGUGCCUCCUUUAGGAGCGCAUCCCGCUGGGAGGAUGGGCCGCCGUACGAUCACUCGUCGGAGCCCCGCACUCCCGGGGCGUCUCGUUCUCAUCACGAGUGGAGACGCACCAGGAGCGCACACGCUGGUACCCGAAAGAUGGUGAACUAUGCCUGGCCAGGACGAAGCCAGGGGAAACCCUGGUGGAGGUCCGAAGCGAUUCUGACGUGCAAAUCGAUCGUCUGAGCUGGGUAUAGGGGCGAAAGACCAAUCGAACCAUCUAGUAGCUGGUUCCCUCUGAAGUUUCCCUCAGGAUAGCUGGCUCUCGGGAAGAGACGAGUCUCAUCCGGUAGAGCGAAUGAUUAGAGGUGAUGGGGUCGAAACGACUUCAACCUAUUCUCAAACUCCCAAUAGAUGAGAGCCCAGGCUUGCUUAAAAGUGAAGCCGCGGGACUCGGAUCAGAGACGCCAAGUGGGCCAAUUUU
rnacentral:rRNA from 1 species